CAUCAUGGCUAUAUCAUAUUGAAUACUCUGAUUCUCAUUUUCUCACCAAAGUUAAGCAAUGUCAAGCCAAGUUGAUACUUAGAUGGGUAACUGCUUAGUAAACCUAAGUGUCGUAAGCA
rnacentral:rRNA from 1 species